UAGGGAAUCUUCGGCAAUGGGGGCAACCCUGACCGAGCAACGCCGCGUGAGUGAAGAAGGUUUUCGGAUCGUAAAGCUCUGUUGUAAGUCAAGAACGAGUGUGAGAGUGGAAAGUUCACACUGUGACGGUAGCUUACCAGAAAGGGACGGCUAACUACGUGCCAGCAGCCGCGGUAAUACGUAGGUCCCGAGCGUUGUCCGGAUUUAUUGGGCGUAAAGCGAGCGCAGGCGGUUUGAUAAGUCUGAAGUUAAAGGCUGUGGCUCAACCAUAGUUCGCUUUGGAAACUGUCAAACUUGAGUGCAGAAGGGGAGAGUGGAAUUCCAUGUGUAGCGGUGAAAUGCGUAGAUAUAUGGAGGAACACCGGUGGCGAAAGCGGCUCUCUGGUCUGUAACUGACGCUGAGGCUCGAAAGCGUGGGGAGCGAACAGGAUUAGAUACCCUGGUAGUCCACGCCGUAAACGAUGAGUGCUAGGUGUUGGAUCCUUUCCGGGAUUCAGUGCCGCAGCUAACGCAUUAAACACUCCGCCUGGGGAGUACGACCGCAAGGUUG
rnacentral:rRNA from 1 species